rnacentral:rRNA from 1 species
GACGAACGCUGGCGGCGUGCUUAACACAUGCAAGUCGAACGGAAAGACCCUGCUUUUGUGGGGUGCUCGAGUGGCGAACGGGUGAGUAACACGUGAGUAACCUGCCCUUGACUUUGGGAUAACUUCAGGAAACUGGGGCUAAUACCGGAUAGGAGCUCCUGCUGCAUGGUGGGGGUUGGAAAGUUUCGGCGGUUGGGGAUGGACUCGCGGCUUAUCAGCUUGUUGGUGGGGUAGUGGCUUACCAAGGCUUUGACGGGUAGCCGGCCUGAGAGGGUGACCGGCCACAUUGGGACUGAGAUACGGCCCAGACUCCUACGGGAGGCAGCAGUGGGGAAUAUUGCACAAUGGGCGGAAGUCUGAUGCAGCAACGCCGCGUGCGGGAUGACGGCCUUCGGGUUGUAAACCGCUUUCGCCUGUGACGAAGCGUGAGUGACGGUAAUGGGUAAAGAAGCACCGGCUAACUACGUG